UUAGUUAUAGUUUAACUGGUAAAAAUAAAAGAUUGUGAUUCUUUAGAUGAAGGUUCAAAUCCUUCUAACUUUAAG
rnacentral:tRNA from 1 species